CUCUAUAUUUUCUGACGGUAUUAUCCUCCAUGAGCAGCAGAGCUCCUGGGGGGUCGAGGCAGUGGCUGCUGGCUCUCUGCGUAACGCACUGCUACAGUUCAACUGAUCACCAUCUACUUCUACGGGAGACGGACCUCCCAUCACAAGGACAACAAGCCACGGCUGCUUUAAAUGGAAACCAGCUAUAUGAAGCAGUUACAAUGGGAGGGAGAGGUCGCGGGGCCCCUCAGCCGGCAGGCCCCCCUGCAGUGAUGUGCAGCUGCUAGGAGGCACAAGAGGGAGCGGGAUGAGGGACCAGCGAUGGAGUGUCCGGAGCUGGCAGCUGAUGCGGCCCUGAUGGAAAGCGGUCCUCUGCGGUUGGGGCGGGAGCCGCCAGGCAGGCUGGAGGAACUGGUUGCUGAGCUACCAUCUAGUGCCCGCUGCUGCUGCUGCUCUCGGUCUCUUCUGGCCAGAGCUUGGGCCUCUGUGGGGGCUACAAGGGUCAAGAGCAGGAGUAGAUGGAGGGUGGUUAUGAAGGAUGGGGAUAGGGGCUGGGGAGUGAAAGUGAAAGUGAUGCAGAGAAUAAUUUCACCACAGGGAUUAAUAAACAUCUUGUGGGAUACGCACCUUGAAAUUGCCGGUACAGAUGGUUUAUAUCGCCCCCUCUUUGGCUUCAAAUUAGCGGCAGCUCUGCAACCGGACGUCUUCUCCGUAAAUGCCCCAGGAGAACAGGCCUCACACCGGCCAGUGGUUCACUGAGCGCAACCAGCUGAUCGCAAGAAUAAACCAGGCCAGUAGUCUACCUAACAGAACAUGUCCCCUUAUUGUAAAUGAUUUACUUUUGUUUUAUUUUAAAUAGCGUCAUGGAGCCAGAAUAGAGUCUUUUAAACACUGUAACAUUUUGCAUUUCAUGUUCAAGUUAAAAUAAAAACUUUAAGCUACUGGGACAAACUGUUUGUGAUCAGUGGAAGCGACCGACUGAACUCUCAUGUAUAAGAUAAGGUUGGAUAAGAUACUAUAAGAUGAUAAGAUUUAUUAGUCCCACGACGAGGAAAUACCCUGGAGUGUAAAGAAGUAUGAAUACACGUUGAUUGGUGGAGUUUCAGCCCUGGUGAGCUCGUUAUUAGACAUCAUAUCGAUUGUCUUAUAAAAAAUAGAAAUAUUUGUAUUAUUGAAAUCAUCUUUUUUUUCCUCUUAGUACUGUUUUAUAGUAUGGUAUUUUAUUAUGGUAAUAAUGUAUACACUUAUGCAAGUUUAUCUUCUUUGACAACGGUAUAUCCACAAUACUAUGCUGUCUUUUGUUUUGUUGCAGUUGGCAUGCUAUAUAUUAUUCUUUCUUCUACAAAGUAGCAUUGAACACAGAGAAGACACAUUUUGUGUGAUUAUUGCCGGAUACACAAUGUGCUGUUUGUUUUCAUUUUAUUGAAUUUGUUAAAUGGUUUAUUUUUUUCCCUCUUUGUAUGCGGAGAACAAAGUGGGAAACCAUGUACACAUAAGCAUAUGUCACCAAUAAAUCCGAUUCAGAUUCUAAUGAUGAUUUGGGAUUGCAACAUGAAUUAUGAGGUUGUAUUAAAUGAAAUAUAAUCAA